UACGACGUACGAGUUAGGGUACGUACGUACUGGGCUCAGGGAUGAACGCUGGCGGCGUGCCUAAUACAUGCAAGUCGAACGAGGUGGAUGGGAGCUUGCUCCUUGAUACCGAGUGGCGAACGGGUGAGUAACACGUAGGUAACCUGCCCUUAAGCCUGGGAUACCCAGAGGAAACUUUGGCUAAUACCGGAUAACAACAGAGGAGGCAUCUCCUUUGCUUGAAAGGCCCUGCAAGGGGUCACUUAAGGAUGGACCUGCGGCGCAUUAGCUAGUUGGUGAGAUAAAAGCCCACCAAGGCGAGGAUGCGUAGCCGACCUGAGAGGGUGAUCGGCCACAUUGGAACUGAGACACGGUCCAAACUCCUACGGGAGGCAGCAGUAAGGAGUUUUCGGCAAUGGGGGAAACCCUGACCGAGCAACGCCGCGUGAAGUGAUGACGGCCCUAUGGGUUGUAAAGCUCUGUUGUAAGGGACGAACGAUCGCUUAGGAAAUGAAGCGGUUCUGACGGUACCUUACCAGAAAGCCACGGCUAACUACGUGCCAGCCGCGGC
rnacentral:rRNA from 1 species